CCCUUAGAUGUUCUGGGCCGCACGCGCGCUACACUGACGAAGUCAGCGAGCAUGUCCUACGCCGACAGGUGCGGGGAAUCUUGUCAAACUUCGUCGUGAUGGGGAUUGAUUAUUGAAAUUCUUGAUCAUCAACGAGGAAUUCCUAGUAAGCGCAAGUCAGCAGCUUGCGUUGAUUACGUCCCUGCCCUUUGUACACACCGCCCGUCGCUACUACCGAUUGAAUGGUUUAGUGAGAUCUUCGGAUUGGCGCCACUGCGGCUCAGCAAUGGGCUCGGUGGAUGCCGAAAAGUUGAUCAAACUUGAUCAUUUAGAGGAAGUAAAAGUCGUAAC
rnacentral:rRNA from 1 species